rnacentral:rRNA from 1 species
GACGAACGCUGGCGGCGUGCUUAACACAUGCAAGUCGAACGGAAAGGCCCUGCUUUUGUGGGGUGCUCGAGUGGCGAACGGGUGAGUAACACGUGAGUAACCUGCCCUUGACUUUGGGAUAACUUCAGGAAACUGGGGCUAAUACCGGAUAGGAGCUCCUGCUGCAUGGUGGGGGUUGGAAAGUUUCGGCGGUUGGGGAUGGACUCGCGGGUUAUCAGCUUGUUGGUGGGGUAGUGGCUUACCAAGGCUUUGACGGGUAGCCGGCCUGAGAGGGUGACCGGCCACAUUGGGACUGAGAUACGGCCCAGACGCCUACGGGAGGCAGCAGUGGGGAGUAUUGCACAAUGGGCGGAAGCCUGAGGCAGCAACGCCGCGUGCGGGAUGACGGCCUUCGGGUUGUAAACCGCUUUCGCCGGUGACGAAGCGUGAGUGACGGUAAUGGGUAAAGAAGCACCGGCUAACUACGUG